CCCCCUUAGGGGAAACCGAGUGUUUGAGAAACUGUUGUGAUGUCAGUUACAUGGACUGGAAUGUUCUUAAAGAUGGAGACAGGGAUUCAGAAGGAGAAACACCAGGGGGAGAUGAGGAGGCUCCUCAUCUCAACGACUAAAACACAACUUCAGUCUGACACAGAGAACCAUGGAACACAUUCAACAGUCCCCUCCAGGCAUCGUGACUCCUCAGGAACAGUUUGAUUUCCAAGAAGGUCUUAUUUGGGGCCAUCCCCAUAUGGAUCCUGCUCCUCAAGAGCCACCCCCCUCCACUGGGUGGUCUUCUGAACAGAUGACCUCCUUCCUGUCCUCAGGCUGACUAAAGCUGCACCGUUUGCAUCUGUAAAGGCCCCUCUUUCAGGAAACCACUGGACUACAAAGACAUGACUUCAGAGACGUUGAAUCAACCUGGGACACAUUUUGGAGACGCCAAGCAUAAUCCUUCACCAAUGUGGGACGCCACUGAAGAAUGUUGUACAUAAUUUACAUCUCUGGAGACAUUGGUUGUUCUGUUAUGGGUGCCCUGGCAGGAGAGCUGGGAGGGUGAUGAUGGAAUGUUAUUUGGCAUGAGGUUUUUACCCUGCAUGAUUGUUUGGCCUUUUAUGGCUCAGUGGUGUGUGUGUGUUUGGGUUUGACAUGAGAUUGAUGAUUUUUGAGCAUCGCUAGGGUUCUACUGUGUGUGUGUGUGUCUCUCUCACUCACACCUGGCAUGGGGUUCUACGUGCCUGUCCUGGGUUCUAUGUGUGUGUGUGUCCGGCUUGCUUUGACACUGAUAAUGUUCAUACAGGGGUCUGUGUGAUUGGCUUGGGAUAUUGGAAUGGUCAACUAAAUCAUACCUGAUGGACUGCCACACGUUUACUUAAGGGCCUCCAGUAGACAUGAAGAGCCCUGAGCGACGCUCCGGAGCGAUAUCCAACACACUGGGCAGGAAGGAGACUCAAGUGUAAAACGAUGCAAGCGGCGUGUUCAGAUCAGUGACUUCAAACUAGGACUACACCAAUCAGGAUCAAUGGAGGAUGGACACCUAAAGGAAUUCCACAAGGAGAGUCUGACGUUGGAAAGGGACCUAAAUGGAUAUUCAAGAUGACCUUCAGACCUGUAAUGAGAUGGCUCUUCCUACCUGGCUGGAUUGACAGCUAGUGCGCUCUUCGAGCUGAAGUUUUGCUCUUCAGCUGAGGAGGUAAGGAGGUAACUUUCACUGGGGCUUCAAGGUGUAAAGAGGAGAAUGUUUCAAAGUGUUCCAUGGUACUCUGAUGAAGACUGUUGUUGUGUUCCAUUGGCUGAGUGGAAGAACCCACACAUCUUCCUCUUGGCCUUUCUCCUCUGGGAAUCCUGGCGCGAUCUUGAAGGAUAUUCCAGCUCAUGUAACUGAUGUCACAACAGAUUCUCAAACACUUGGUUUCUCCUGAGGGGCGUGUGUAUAGAACUGAAGACUUCAGACAGCACUGUAUCCCAGCAUGCAUCUCUUCUCACUCAGACCACACCCCCAUGAGUAGGAUGCAACAAUCUAGAGAUGGAGCUGCAGAGUUUUGUAAGUAACGAGGGAGCAGGCAAAGGUGAUUAGAACACAAUGGAAUGUCAAGUCUGUAAAUCUUUAAACCAUGAAGAUGGUUGGAUAGUUCAGGAAUUGGGCUUCUUUUUAUUAUGGGCAGUCCUUUCACUCAGAUGCCCACUUCUCACUGGAGCUGUACAUGUGUUGGCUGGCUGGCAUGAUUUGCUGUUGGUGAUGAGGCGGUCAGGUUGACGUUGCAGGGCUGUGGCCGGCUCUCUGUGAGCUCAACGUUUAGAUUUGAAUAAUCUAGAUAAUUGCAAAACGUAGACAGUUUGGUAUUGAAUGAUUCCAGGAUUUUAGGUUUAAAGUUGUUGUGGGACGUACAUGGUAGUUUGGUUCUUCGUACGGUUUUGAGUGAUAUAACUUGUACACACUGGGUGCAUAAUAAUGUAAAGGUACACUGAAUAGUAUUAAUGACCAACAGCAACAAACAGAUCUCCUCAAGGUAAGUCUGUUGGCUGUGUUUUAAUGUAGACCAUCGCUGGACUUCAGGAUCUUCCUCCGUUCAGCUCAAGGUGAGGCGCUGGUUCUGUUUUUUCUUUGGUUGGUUCCGGCCGGAAUGUUCGGAUUCCAGUCGGACGGUUUGUGAAGUUUCUGAGUGCGGUCACUUGAUUUAGUCCCAAUGGUUAGCAUAGAACGUUGUUUUGACAACCGUAAUAAACCAACUGGCAGUUAGUUGGACGGGAGUCCCCUGAGGGAAUCUGAUGGAACGUUCUGGAUUUUAUUUGCGUAACCUCGUGACCCUAUCUUAAACAAUUUGAGUUUGAUAUUAAAUACAUAGACGCGUACGUCGUACAAUAUGUUAAUUUCCAUACUUUUAACCACGAUGACGUGACGGGAAUCUCACUGCGUACAAAACGGCGUUCUACUUGCUGGCCCAUUUUUGACAUCAGUGAAGACUGAAAAUCAUUUCAAGGUGGAAGAUAAUUUGACAUUUCUUCAACGGAACCCAGCACCAGAAUAUGGCUGAGUAUAUUUGAUUUAAUAUUGAUACUGCUUAGUGUUCUUUGUUACUUCAGCUUUUGUAGGUUCUAAAUAUCUGCUGUCAUUAAUUGCCACAGAAGUUCAACCCUACCCAAUGGAAUGAUGUUAAACAACGACUUUGGUGCAGAGUUACCAACUGGAUAAUAUCAAAGCUAAAAUAAUGGCCGUCCUUCCCACAUAUUACAGUAGAAGAUACUCUAGAACUGUACAAGGUUAAAAAGGUAACAUGUAGUUUGUCCCAAGAUGUCUGCCUCCUCACCCAGAGCAAGACCUCCACCUCCUCACCCAGAGCCAGACCUCCACCUCCUGUCAGAAGUCCUCCAGAACAGCUGAAUGGCGAGGCUGAGAGGCUGGGGACCGGAGGCUUGUGGUGCCAGGAUGGACCGGAGACUGAGGCUGGAGACCAGGGGCCUGCAGCACCGGACUAGAGGACCAGGAAUCCAUGGCUGAAGGAGCUGAUGGAGGAGCCGUGCUGAAGGACCUGAUGGAGGAGCGGAGCUGAUGGAGGAGCAGUGCUGAAGGAGCUGAUGGAGGAGCCGAGCUGAAGGACCUGAUGGAGGAGCGGAGCUGAUGGAGGAGCCGUGCUGAAGGUCCUGAUGGAGGAGCCGAGCUGAUGGAGGAGCAGUGCUGAAGGAGCUGAUGGAGGAGCCGAGCUGAUGGAGUCAUGCUGUAGGCCCUGCCUGGUGGAGCUGGUGGAGGCCCUGCCUGGUGAAGGACGUCUGUCGUCGGACCAGGACUCGGUCUAAGUAGAGCUGCUGGAGGAGCUGAGACGCUGGAGGACUACUAGGAAUCGACCAACAAGGAUUCCUCAACGUGUUUCUGGAGCGGAGGCGAGCUGGAAGGGGAGCCGUGAAUCUGGAGGAUGACCAUCACACUACCAACAAGGAUUACCAGGACUCUGGCUGAGGAGAGCUGAUGGAGGAGCCAAGACUCUGGAGGACGACAUCACUCUACCAACCAGGAUACUCAGACAAACUACGUUUGUAACCAGACCAGGAAUCUGGAGGACUGAUGGAGAAGCCGUACAACUGGAAGGCAAAUUCUGAGGACAACCAGGACUCUAUCUGACUAUCUGGACAUAGUGGACUAGAUACACCUGAGCUGAACCUCGCCUGAUCCUGUUUGGCCGGAGGUAGACACACCUGAGCUGAACCCGCCCUGAUCCUGACAUCCUGCUGGUCCCGUCUCCUCAGUUUAUCUGAGCCUCGUCCUCCAGAAGAUCUGCUGAGCUCAGCAAUCUGAGGCUGAUGGAUCAAUGACCUCCAGUGGGAGUGAUCUUCUUGAACCCACAUGUAACCGUGCUUCCACACGCCUUUCCCUCACGUCUGUCACUAACCUCACUACUUCACUACUCUCUACUGCUUCCUCUUUUCUUCCUUCUCUGUGGUUCAAACCUUUACACUGAAGGCGCGUCUUCCUGCCCUCAGAGGGUUCAGCGUUAGGGUUGAGAGUCAGGGUUUAGAGUCAGGGACAGAGCUGGUCAGGGAGGACUGCUUUUACACAAACCUCUUCACUUGCUUUCGGAAUGGUGCUGACAUUUUGAAAAGAUUAAUUUGGGAAAAUGUUUUCCUCUGCAUUCCUUCACAAAAUUGCAUCAAACUUCUGUCAAGUGUUUUUGUUUAUAUAUUAAAA